AUUGAACGCUGGCGGCAGGCCUAACACAUGCAAGUCGAGCGGAUGAAGGGAGCUUGCUCCUGGAUUCAGCGGCGGACGGGUGAGUAAUGCCUAGGAAUCUGCCUGGUAGUGGGGGAUAACGUCCGGAAACGGGCGCUAAUACCGCAUACGUCCUGAGGGAGAAAGUGGGGGAUCUUCGGACCUCACGCUAUCAGAUGAGCCUAGGUCGGAUUAGCUAGUUGGUGGGGUAAAGGCCUACCAAGGCGACGAUCCGUAACUGGUCUGAGAGGAUGAUCAGUCACACUGGAACUGAGACACGGUCCAGACUCCUACGGGAGGCAGCAGUGGGGAAUAUUGCACAAUGGGCGAAAGCCUGAUGGAGCAACGCCGCGUGAGUGAAGAAGGUCUUCGGAUCGUAAAGCUCUUUUAGUAGGGAGGAAGAACAGUAUGAGUAUCUAUUGACGUCUUGACGGUACCUAAAGAAUAAGCACCGGCUAACUACGUG
rnacentral:rRNA from 1 species